rnacentral:tRNA from 1 species
GCCUCGGUAGCUCAGUCGGUAGAGCAGAGGACUGAAAAUCCUCGUGUCGAUGGUUCAAUUCCGUCUCUGGGCACCA